rnacentral:tRNA from 1 species
AGGGCCCCAGCUCAGUGGCAGAGCAUCUGCUUGGCAUGCAGAAGGUUGUGGGUUCAAUCCUGGGCAUUG